rnacentral:rRNA from 1 species
UACGAAGGUCCCUAGCGUUGUUCGGAAUUAUUGGGCGUAAAGAGCUCGUAGGUGGUUUUGUAAGUCAGGUGUGAAAGCCCCGAGCUCAACUCGGGAAGUGCACUUGAAACUGCUUAACUUGAGUACGGAAGAGGUAAGUGGAAUUCCUGGUGUAGUGGUGAAAUACGUAGAUAUCAGGAGGAACAUCGGUGGCGAAGGCGGCUUACUGGUCCAGUACUGACACUGAGGAGCGAAAGCAUGGGGAUCAAACAGG